UUAGGAGCAGAUCUCCUGAGGAUCCUUCCAUAGAGACACUUAUCGAGGCCUUUGCCGCCCUGCAAGGGGCUACUACCACGACCAUAAAUAACGGUAGGGCAAGUCAGUAAUGGCGACAUGAUCGAAUUGCGGGAAGCCUUAAAGCCGGUAGUACUAACUGCUGCCAGAAAUGGUGGCAGGGCCUAUGCUAACUACAUAGGGGAGUAAGAAUCUACCUGGAUGCACAAUAGGUAAUCCGCAGCGAAGCCCCUACGGCCCACCGGCUACGGGGAACGUUCACAGACUAAGUGGUUAUGGGCACCUGGUGUGCUUAAGAUAUAGUCGGGUCCUGGGGGAAACUCCAGGGUUGAAGUCACUACGGCGGGGGGACGUCCGCGUCUCCCGGCCGAGCGAAACCGUUCCGUAGGUGAACCUGCGGAAGGAUCAUUA
rnacentral:rRNA from 1 species